ensembl:snoRNA
GGUCAGUGAUGUGAUGGCAUGUAUUAGCUGAAGGUGCAGCUGUUGUGAAUUCUAAAAUUACCCUGAGACCUU